AUGUAUUCUCAGCCUUUUGGCUAAGUUUAAGCACGUAUCUGUUCUUAUUAGUUUGAUAUCUGAAACAUCCUCUAUCCAACAAAUAUCCAUUAAAUGGAUUUUUGGUGCUGGGAGAUAGAAUAAGAGCUUCCUCUGUUCAUUCCACACAUCGCCUUGAUGUUGCAGUACCUCCAGAAAGCAUGCAGCCCCC
ensembl:snRNA U2 U2 spliceosomal RNA